rnacentral:lncRNA from 1 species
CUGAGUCGGCUUCUUAGGGGUAUAAGAAAAGAAAAGAAAAGAAUCGAUGUUGUAAUAUUAUGUUUAGAAAUCGAUUGUAUAUUUGGAAGUUGAGAAUCAAUGUAAUGAAAAAUGCGAUGUAAAAUGAUGAGAUGAAUGAUUGUAAUAAUAUAGGAUGUGUUAUGUUGUUUGAUACCUUCCUUAUGCAAUCGUUGUUGAUAAUUGUUCCUGUUUGGAACCUCUUGUAAUUGUAUUGAUUGCGACGCCUUGAACGUACAGGGGAGACUCUGUCCGCGUGCAGGGGAAACCCUGUCCGUUCGGCGGUCUGUUGGCGUGCCCGAAUCCGACCAAAGAGGCGGGCUCGGGGCGUGACAGGUAAGAUGGUAUCAGAGCAUAAAGUAGAGAAUGGGAAAGUGGUUUAGAUGAACCUAGGAGACCCUAGGAUAGUAAACCAUAGGAGAUUAAGGCUCGUGAGAGACGAGGACUUGUGACUUUUGGCGAAAGGUUAAG